rnacentral:lncRNA from 1 species
AUGCAAGCCCAUGGAGGCCCGCACAAGGCUAAACAAGCCUGUACGAGCCCAUAUGAAGCCUGUAUAAGCCUGCAGAUUCCUGUACGAGCCUGCACAAGCUGUGGGGACCCAUGUGAGUUUGUACGAGGCCCGUAUGAGUCCAUAGAGGACCAUACAAACCCACAUGAGCCCGUGGAGGCCUGCAUGAGCUUGCAGGAGCCCAUACGAGCCUGUAGAGGUCUGUACGAGCCUGUAGAGUCCCAUACAAGCCCGUACAAGCCUCUACAGGAUCCUACUGGCCUUGUACAGGCCUCGUACGGGCCUUUACAGGUUCGUACGGGCCUCACACGGGCUUGUGCGGGCCUCCACAGCCUCAUACAGGCUCGUAUGGGCUCAUGCAGACCUCCAUGGGCUCAUACGGGCUCGUACGGGCUCGUACAGGCUCGUGCGGUCCUCCACAACCUCGCAGGAGCUCACACAGGCCUCUACAGGCUUAUACAGGCCUCGUACAGACUUGUGCAGGCCUCCAUGGGCUCGCAUGGGCCUCCUAUGGGCUUGUAUGGGCUCAUGCGGGCCUCCAUGGGCUUGCACAGGCUCGCACAGGCCUUGUACCAGAUCAUACAAGCUCAUGCAGGCCUCCACAGGCUCACAAGGGCUUGCACAGGCCUCUACAGGCUCRCACGGGCCUUGUACUGGAUUGUACAAGCUCAUGCAGGCCUCCACAGGCUUGCAUGGGCUCACAGGGGCCUCUACAGGCUUGCACGGGCCUCGUACUGGAUCAUACAAGCUCAUGCAGGCCUCCACAGGCUCGCAAGGGCUUGUGUGGGCCUCUAUGGGCUUGUACGGGCUCGUACGGGCUCAUGCGGGCCUCCACAGGCUCGCACAGGCUCGCACAGGCCUCUACAGGGUCACAUGGGCCUCGCACGGGCUCGUAGGGGCACAUGCAGGCCUCCAUGGGCUCGCAUGGGCUCAUACGGCCUCGCGUGGGCCUUGCACGGGCCUCUGUGGGCUCACCUGAGCCUUGUAUGGGCUUGCACGGUCUCAUACGGGCUCGUACUGGCUCGUACAGGUCUCCACGGGCUCCCACGGGCCUCGUACGGGCUUGUGCGGGCAUCCACAGGCUCGCACGGGCCUCCUACAGGCUCGUGCGGGCCUCCACAGGCUUGCACGGGCUUGCAUGGGCCUCAUACGAGCCUCCAUGGGCUCACAGGGGUUCUUACGGGCUCACAUGGACCUCUACGAGCUUGCACAGGCCUCGUACCAACUUGUACGGGCUCGUACAGGCCUCCUAAGGCCUCGUACGGGUUCGUGCAGACCUCCAUGGGCUCGCACAGGCUCCCAUGGGCCUUGUAUGGGCUUGUACAGGCCUCCACAGGCUCGCAGGGGCUUGCACGGACAUCUAUGGGCUCACAUGGGCCUCAUACAGGCUCAUAUGGGUUCGAGCGGACUUCCACAGGCUCACACAGGCUUGUGCAGGGUCAUGCAGACCUCCACGAACUCACACAGGCUUGCACAGGCCUCGUACAGGCUCGCAUGGGCUCGUGUGGGCCUCCACAGCCUCACACAGGCUUGCAYGGGCCUCUAUGGGCUUGUACGGGCCUCCACAGGCUCACACAAACCUCUAUGGGCUUGCACAGGCCUCUAUGGGCUUGUGCAGGCCUCACACAGGCCUCUACGGGCUCGCACAGGCCUCCACGGGCUCACACAGGCCUCAUAUGGGCUCGCGUGGGCCUGCAGGGGCUCUUACGGGCUCGCUCAGGCCUCUACGGGCUUGCACAGUCCUUGUAG